GUGGCUGUCUACUCUCUAUCACCUCCAGCAUUCUCAGGUCAUUGCUGUCACUGCAGUAGUGCUGGAAGGAAGACAUGAUUGCCUUAGCCACAUCACCACUCACCAAAAUUAAGCAGAGCAGCGACCAAUACCUGAACCACUGUAUUCAAUGCGCAAUCAAGGUCAAUCAAAAUUCAAGAAUUUGCAGACAUACUUCCUGACUCGACACAGUAAGAUUCCUAGCAGCUCUGCAGGAUGUCCAGGUGUUAUGUGGCCACUGUAAGAUGCAGCUACAUUUUUGCUGGAUGGACAGGUUGGGCAAACAAGGAAUACAUCCACCCUUGAGUUGCCACCUGCUAACAAUGAAGCAAGAAUGCAUUAAAAGUGAAGUAAUUUCUAGAACAACUCCCCAGUCCUGAUGGUGUGCCUUUGCUUUCUUCAGGUGUUAGUUCACCACUGUUUGUCGCAUCAUCUACACCAGAACCUGAUAUAUUAUCAAGACGUGUCACUAAUCUGGCAAAAAAGAAAACUGUAAAGUCUUGGAAUCCUGUUAAUGAUUCAGUAGUAGCACUGAGGCAGUAUUUUCAAGAAAACAAAGCCAAUAAAAUUUCAGCUAGUGUGAGACACAUUGUCCCAACUGCAGCACAACUACUACUAUUAGCUAUAUGGCUUAGGCUCCUAAAAUUUCCAAACUUAUUGAGGGCAAAAUUAAUGAUAACAAUAAUGUAUAGUGCUAGUCAUUAAAGUAACU